rnacentral:rRNA from 1 species
AGAGUUGAUCCUGGCUCAGAUUGAACGCUGGCGGCAGCUAACACAUGCAAGUCGAACGUAGCACAGAGAGCUGCUCUGGGUGACGAGUGCGGACGGGUGAGUAAUGUCUGGGAAACUGCCCGAUGGAGGGGGAUAACUACUGGAAACGGUAGCUAAUACCGCAUAACGUCGCAAGACCAAAGUGGGGGACCUUCGGGCCUCACACCAUCGGAUGUGCCCAGAUGGGAUUAGCUAGUAGGUGGGGUAAUGGCUCACCUAGGCGACGAUCCCUAGCUGGUCUGAGAGGAUGACCAGCCACACUGGAACUGAGACACGGUCCAGACUCCUACGGGAGGCAGCAGUGGGGAAUAUUGCACAAUGGGCGCAAGCCUGAUGCAGCCAUGCCGCGUGUAUGAAGAAGGCCUUCGGGUUGUAAAGUACUUUCAGCGAGGAGGAAGGCGCUGUAGUUAAUAACUGCAGCGAUUGACGUUACUCGCAGAAGAAGCACCGGCUAACUCCGUGCCAGCAGCCGCGGUAAUACGGAGGGUGCAAGCGUUAAUCGGAAUUACUGGGCGUAAAGCGCACGCAGGCGGUCUGUCAAGUCGGAUGUGAAAUCCCCGGGCUCAACCUGGGAACUGCAUUCGAAACUGGCAGGCUAGAGUCUUGUAGAGGGGGGUAGAAUUCCAGGUGUAGCGGUGAAAUGCGUAGAGAUCUGGAGGAAUACCGGUGGCGAAGGCGGCCCCCUGGACAAAGACUGACGCUCAGGUGCGAAAGCGUGGGGAGCAAACAGGAUUAGAUACCCUGGUAGUCCACGCCGUAAACGAUGUCGACUUGGAGGUUGUGCCCUUGAGGCGUGGCUUCCGGAGCUAACGCGUUAAGUCGACCGCCUGGGGAGUACGGCCGCAAGGUUAAAACUCAAAGGAAUUGACGG